AGCGAACGCUGGCGGCAGGCUUAACACAUGCAAGUCGAGCGGGCGUAGCAAUACGUCAGCGGCAGACGGGUGAGUAACGCGUGGGAACGUACCUUUUGGUUCGGAACAACACAGGGAAACUUGUGCUAAUACCGGAUAAGCCCUUACGGGGAAAGAUUUAUCGCCGAAAGAUCGGCCCGCGUCUGAUUAGCUAGUUGGUGAGGUAACGGCUCACCAAGGCGACGAUCAGUAGCUGGUCUGAGAGGAUGAUCAGCCACAUUGGGACUGAGACACGGCCCAAACUCCUACGGGAGGCAGCAGUGGGGAAUAUUGGACAAUGGGCGCAAGCCUGAUCCAGCCAUGCCGCGUGAGUGAUGAAGGCCCUAGGGUUGUAAAGCCCUGUCGCAGGGGAAGAAUAAGCAUCGGUAUAAUACGCCGGUGCCCUGACGGUACCCUGCAAGAAGCACCGGCUAACUCCGUGCCAGCAGCCGCGGUAAU
rnacentral:rRNA from 1 species